AUUGAACGCUGGCGGCAUGCUUUACACAUGCAAGUCGAACGGUAACAGGCCGCAAGGUGCUGACGAGUGGCGAACGGGUGAGUAAUGCAUCGGAACGUGCCCAGUCGUGGGGGAUAACGCAGCGAAAGCUGCGCUAAUACCGCAUACGAUCUAUGGAUGAAAGCGGGGGACCGUAAGGCCUCGCGCGAUUGGAGCGGCCGAUGUCAGAUUAGGUAGUUGGUGGGGUAAAGGCUCACCAAGCCAACGAUCUGUAGCUGGUCUGAGAGGACGACCAGCCACACUGGGACUGAGACACGGCCCAGACUCCUACGGGAGGCAGCAGUGGGGAAUUUUGGACAAUGGGCGCAAGCCUGAUCCAGCAAUGCCGCGUGCAGGAAGAAGGCCUUCGGGUUGUAAACUGCUUUUGUACGGAACGAAACGGCUCUGGUUAAUACCUGGGGCUAAUGGCGGUACCGUAAGAAUAAGCACCGGCUAACUACGUGCCAGCAGCCGCGGUAACAC
rnacentral:rRNA from 1 species